AGACGCUGAGUGGCUUUAAUGGGGCUGGGAAGCCUUGCCUGGGGCUGAGGACUCUGGAGACUCUGGAGAGGCCAGCCCCAGCCUGACCCAUGCCUGACUGGGCCAUUCUUCCCCUGACAAAGCAGGUACCGGGGAUUGAACUCGGGUCCUUGUGCUUGCGCAGUAGGCGGUGAAACCACUGAGCUAAAUCCCCAGAGUAAUAUUGGUUUUGAUCAAAAAUGACACUUGUACACCUCUGACAAGUUACCUGAAUUGUCUGAGCCUCAGUUUCUUCACUGGGAAACCAAUGCCUGGAAUCUGAUUGGAAGCAAAUGGUUAAACAUGCUGCCUAUACACAGAGUCAAACCACCAUGACUACUAUAGCAGCUGAACAAAGUGUGAGAUAUGGAACUUGAACUGCUGCCCUGAUAGCAACUGAAGCAGACGAGAGAAGAAAGGAGC
rnacentral:lncRNA from 1 species